rnacentral:rRNA from 1 species
AAACUCAAAGGAAUUGACGGGGCCCGCACAAGCGGUGGAGCAUGUGGUUUAAUUCGACGCAACGCGAAGAACCUUACCAGGGCUUGACAUCCCCUGACCGCGUAUGAAAGUACGUUUUCACCCUCGGGUGACAGGGAGACAGGUGGUGCAUGGUUGUCGUCAGCUCGUGUCGUGAGAUGUUGGGUUAAGUCCCGCAACGAGCGCAACCCUUGUUUUUAGUUGCCAGCAGGUAAGGCUGGGCACUCUAGAGAUACUGCCGGUGACAAACCGGAGGAAGGUGGGGAUGACGUCAAAUCAUCAUGCCCUUUAUGUCCUGGGCUACACACGUACUACAAUGGCCUGUACAAAGGGUAGCGAAGCCGCGAGGUGAAGCCAAUCCCAAAAAGCAGGUCUCAGUUCGGAUUGUAGGCUGCAACUCGCCUACAUGAAGUCGGAAUCGCUAGUAAUCGCGGAUCAGCAUGCCGCGGUGAAUACGUUCCCGGGCCUU